rnacentral:rRNA from 1 species
ACCCCUACGGGGGGCAGCAGUGGGGAAUAUUGGACAAUGGGCGCAAGCCUGAUCCAGCAAUACCGCGUGUGUGAAGAAGGCCCUAGGGUUGUAAAGCACUUUUAUGAGUGAAGAAAGGACAUUAUUUAAUAGAUAUUGUCUGUGACGGUAACUCACGAAUAAGCACCGGCUAACUCCGUGCCAGCAGCCGCGGUAA